CAUUACAGCCAUACCACCCUGAACGGGCCCAAUCUUGUCUGAUCUCGGAAGCUAAGCAGGGUUGGGCCUGGUUAGUUAAAAAAAAAAGAAAAGAAAAAGAAAGUCAUUAAAAAAGAACUCUGAAACCUGGCCUGGUGG
rnacentral:rRNA from 1 species